AGGCGCAUAGCUCAGCGGUAGAGCGCUGUCUUUACACGGCAGAUGUCGGGGGUUCGAUUCCCUCUGUGCCUACUA
rnacentral:tRNA from 1 species